UAGUAUCCUUUUUAUAACUUUACAUUCUGUUAUCUUUUGAAGGAUCAGUCUCCUACUCCACGAUCCUCUACACCAAAUUUCAAUAUUUUAUUUGAAGAAAGUCUGGAUGUUCAAAAGAAUAAGAAGAGAGUUAGCAGAGGAAGAAAUGAGGUUAGCAUUUAAAA
rnacentral:sRNA from 1 species